AUCCAGUUGAUGAGUCUGAAAUAGAAGGAAACGAGCUUCUUGGAU
rnacentral:hammerhead_ribozyme from 1 species